UAUCACGUUCUUCGUGGUUACAUAAAUUUUAAAUCAGUUCUUAUCGAGCGGAUCCUCGCAUAUACGAAUUUGCAUUAACGUGUUGUUUAAAUUUCGAAAUCGUAAUUAUUACGUAAGUUUCGAUCAUUUUCGAUGCUAUUUUCUGUUUAUUGAUCCACAAUCGUGCACCUCGUGAUUAUUGAGGUUUUCUAUCAUCGAAUCUACGUAUGAGUUUCUUAAAAAUACAAGCUAUGCGAAUACUAUGCCAACUUAUUGUGGGACUCUGUUACAAACUGCCUGGUUGAGAGAGCAUCCUGAUGCGUGAUACUCAUAUGGGCACAGAGCCAAGCAGCUGCGCAAACUGGUAAACAGCAAGCUGUCGAUCGUAAGCCGUCCAAAGCACACUUUACAUCGCAUGCUCCAACAACUCCGCUCUCC